CAAGACUUUCAUGGUAAUGUUGGUCUGCAAAACAAAUGGUUGUGCUAUUUGGUAACUUUGAAGCUGGGCAAAUAAAUUCUACCAUAUGUUAUUUUUUCUCAUUUGAAAAACUUAAAAGAAUUGGAAGUGCUGGAUAGCAAGAAGGAGGAAGAGGAAGGGGCGAGUGUUGAGGUAGCAGCGGCGGUGAUGGAAGAAGGGGAAGAAGACUAAGGAGCACGGAUAGAAAAAAGGGAACCAGAUCUAAAAAAUUUAAAUAAAAAUCGCUCGUAAACAAAAAUCGUUUAAAUUCAUAAUAUUACCUGCGUCAGCAUAAUUGGACUUGGACGGAAAUAAUCUUAUUAAAUCUUAAAAUAAUUUAAUGACCAAAUUGAUAAUUAAGCGGUUAAAAUAAGUCAAUUAUUUUUAUUUUUCAUUUUUCCCAAAAAAACAUAUUCCUUUCUUCUCCACACCUCAGGUUAUCUCUAAGGUCCUAAGAAAUCCUCUUUCCAAAACACUGAGAAAGGUGAGGAAAUGUCGGCAUCAUCAUUGAUAGAGUCUCUAGUUCUUCAACUCCAUGAAAUGUCGGAAUCUGUCCGUCACCUCGUUCAAAAUUCUUUUCAUCUCCCAAGGAGAUGCUUUGAAGUAUAUCAUCAUAGUUUCGACAGUGGAGUGAAUGCUGCUACAGGAAUCUUCAUUUUGUUAUAUUCCUUUCAUUUAGAUUUUAGACCCCUUCAUAUUAAAAAGAAUUGCAAUGCAAGCUCAGUGACCAAUGUAAAUAAUGGCUCUAUUGAACUAUGGCAAAUAAAUGAAGGACCAAGCCACACAAUAAUAUGACUCCAGUACUUUUUUUUUUGUUCA